GAGUUCAAGAGUACGUGAAACUGCUUAGAGGUUAAGCCCGAUGAACCUGAAUAUCCGUUAUGGAAAAUUCAUCACUAAUAAUUUAAUAUUAAUAAUAUUUUAUGAAUAGUGUGCAAUUUUUCCAUAUAAGGACAUUGUAAUCUGUUAAUGUAAUAAAUAUUUAUUAAAAGAUCUUAUACUUAAGUUUAUUCAAAUUAGUUAUUUUCGGAUUUCUAACAUAGAAUAAAUGUAUUUGAUUUAAUAAAUCAUUGACAGAUUUAUUUGUAUAUAGCGCUUAAAUUUUGAAAAAAAUUUUACAAUUAUAUGAUAAUUCUAUUUAUUAUAUUUAUUGUAUGCGCUUAUAUGAUUCACAAUGCGAUAGAUUCAGGAUACCUUCGGGACCCGUCUUGAAACACGGACCAAGGAGUCUAACAUAUGUGCAAGUCAUUGGGUAUUUUUAAUAAAACCCAAUGGCAUAAUUAACUUAACUGUUAUUUAAUAUGGGAUUAGUUUAUAUUUUAUUAUGAAAUAUGAAUUCAAUCCCGGGGCGUUCUAUACAGUUAUGCAUAAUGAUAUUUAUAUUAUUUAUGCCUCUAACU
rnacentral:rRNA from 1 species